GCGCCGAGCUCCAGCCUGGGAUGGGUGGGAAGCACCCCCCACCCCGCCCUACCCCCCUCCACCCCCCGCCCCGUCUCAGUGCUACCUAACGGUCCCGCCCCUUCCUCAGCCUUCCUCAACAUUCCCAGGCUCCUCCCAGGCCACUGGAAGGUCCUCCCAGCAUCCCCGCCUCUGCCUCCCUCCGCUCCGGAGCUAAAUCCCCCCGCCACCAGCCCUCCUAGGAAGAGGCCACUCCCUAGGAACGCCCCUUCCCUCGCUUCACCGCCUGUCUAAUCCUGCCCCGCCUUGGGAAACCUACCCCGGGCAGGCACGCCUCCGGGGGAAGAGCGGGGGGGGGGCCCACAUUGGCAUUCCAGGGCGGGUGUAUCCGGGUGCAACGGGGGAACGGCGGCGUGGGAGCGGCUUGCGUUCCAAGUCCGGGCCUCUAUCAAGAUGUAGCUUGGAUCCAGGCACUAUUUGAAAAUACUAACAGCCACCACGGAUUGAACUCUCGCCAUCGGCCAGGCUCUAUGCCAAACUCUGGCUUAAGAAGAGUACUUUACAAGGACUGGCCGUUGAAUUCACAGGACUCUGGCCAAAUGUUGCGUCCGUUUUACCGAUGAGCAGCCUGAGGCUUAGAGAAGGGAAGUCAGGGGCCUCCCGAGUCUCAGACGGGUGGUGAGCAAGACCCAGCCCCAGGGCCGUGAAUCAUAAGGCUUGAUGCUGCACCAGCUUGUCUGGACUGGCCCCUGGAGAAGUAGCCCAGACCAGCCAGCUACUGAGACAGUUCUAGCAGGCUGCCGGAGAGGUGGCUCAGGAGCUGCAGAGCAGGAGAUCUGAAGGUCCUUGUGUGGUGCAAGAGCAUGGGUGUCAGGGUCUCACUGAUGCCUGGCCCAAGCCCCAGAACAGUGGCUGGCACGUGGAAGGAACUCCCAGGACCGUUGCCAGCUGAAUGGGCAGAAGAGAGAGGGGGGCAAUGGGACCACGGCCUUGGGCAGAGACAGUUUCCAGUGAGACUAACAACACUGUUUUAUCUUCAUGGUAUUUAUUUUUCUGGUUACCUUUCAUUUCUUAUGGCAAACAACACUGUAAUUUUCCAUUUGUAGAAGUGAUUUAAAAUUCCCUUUUAAAAUAAAUUCGCUGAAUUAGAAAGCGUACAUUGAUC